GGAGGGAUUCCCGAGCGGUCAAAGGGACCAGACUGUAAAUCUGGCGCCUCAGGCUUCGAAGGUUCGAAUCCUUCUCCCUCCA
rnacentral:tRNA from 1 species